AGCGAACGCUGGCGGCAUGCUUAACACAUGCAAGUCGCACGAAGGUUUCGGCCUUAGUGGCGGACGGGUGAGUAACGCGUAGGAAUCUAUCCAUGGGUGGGGGGAUAACACUGGGAAACUGGUGCUAAUACCGCAUGAUACCUGAGGGUUAAAGGCGCGAGUCGCCUGUGGAGGAGCCUGCGUUCGAUUAGCUAGUUGGUGGGGUAAAGGCCUACCAAGGCGAUGAUCGA
rnacentral:rRNA from 1 species